UGGGGAAUUUUGGACAAUGGGCGAAAGCCUGAUCCAGCAAUGCCGCGUGUGUGAAGAAGGCCUUCGGGUUGUAAAGCACUUUUGUCCGGAAAGAAAUCCUUGGCUCUAAUACAGUCGGGGGAUGACGGUACCGGAAGAAUAAGCACCGGCUAACUACGUGCCAGCAGCCGCGGUAAUACGUAGGGUGCAAGCGUUAAUCGGAAUUACUGGGCGUAAAGCGUGCGCAGGCGGUUUGCUAAGACCGAUGUGAAAUCCCCGGGCUCAACCUGGGAACUGCAUUGGUGACUGGCAGGCUAGAGUAUGGCAGAGGGGGGUAGAAUUCCACGUGUAGCAGUGAAAUGCGUAGAGAUGUGGAGGAAUACCGAUGGCGAAGGCAGCCCCCUGGGCCAAUACUGACGCUCAUGCACGAAAGCGUGGGGAGCAAACAGGAUUAGAUACCCUGGUAGUCCACGCCCUAAACGAUGUCAACUAGUUGUUGGGGAUUCAUUUCCUUAGUAACGUAGCUAACGCGUGAAGUUGACCGCCUGGGGAGUACGUCGCAAGAUUAAAACUUAAAUGAAUUGACGGGGUCAUAGCUGUUUCCU
rnacentral:rRNA from 1 species